AAAAUGCUUCAACAAUUUCUUUAGAGACAGAAUUCAAGAUCCAUGACACAACCAUACAAUCAACUUUCAUCAAUUUCUCAUAUAAUUGUGAAUCAGGAUUAGGUUUAGGAUUCGUGCCAUUAACAAAACCUAGCUUGUCCUUAGCUCUAAGUGUAAUAAGCAUAUAUCCACUCCAUGACAGAUAGUUGUUCCUAGUUAGAGGCACACUUACCAAGUUAGAUGUACGAUUAUCCGAAUACAAGAGCUUGUAAUCUUCUGGAUCUUCCAUAGUUGCUCUCUGUUCUAG
rnacentral:lncRNA from 1 species